UGAAUCUCGUUUAUGGAUCAUGUUUACCGACAGUCACUGAUGAAUCACGUCGGUUUGACGUCACUCGGUGUCGGUAAACUCACCUGGUCAGGUCUCCUCAUGUCCCCUUUAUCAAAAGAAUAGAGCGCUUCAGACGAACUUCGGCCGCGGUGACGUCAUCGAGGGCGAGUUGGUUAUUUCCCUCAUUGCGGCACUGGUCACUCGAGGAGUUCCUGAGUCUGUGAGUUCAUGAAGUGUUUCUCCCCAUCAGUCACAGCGGGUGGCAGAGACUUUACCUGAGGACAAACGUCACCUCUGAACACCGCCGCACUGAAGAUGGAGAGACUCUGGAGGAACGCACUUCUCUGAAUCACUUCCCAGACCAGUUUAUAAAUGGCUGCCGGUGGGUGGAGAAGCUACACGACAAUAGGCCUAAUGAAGCCAUAAACACUUGUGCAAACGCCACAUGCUCCUACUUUAGUGACACCAUCAGGUCUAAUAACUCAACGUUCAAUUCUGUUUUGAAACCAGAGUUUAGCAGUGUGCAGUGAAUGUAAAAAACACUAUGGCAAGCUGUUUUAACAUUUGUGACCCUGGAUCACAAAAGCAGUCAUAAGCAGCACAGGUAUAUUUGUAGCAAUAGACAACAAUACAUUGUAUGGGUCACAAUUAUACAUUUUUCUUUUAUACCAAAAUCAUUAGGAUAUUAAGUAAAGAUCAUGUUCCGUGAAGAUAUUUUGUAAAUUUCCUACCAUAAAUAUAUCAAAACUUAAUUUUUGAUUAGUAAUAUGCAUUGCUAAGAACUUCAUUUGAACAACUUUAAAGAUGAUUUUCUCAAUAUUUAAAUUUUUUUGCAGCCUCAGAUUCCAGAUUUUCUCGGCCAAAUGUUGUUCUAUCCUAACAAACCAUACAUCAAUUGAAAGCUUAUUUAUUCAGCUUUCAGAUGAUGUAUAAAUCUCAAUUUCAAAAAAUGUACCCUUAUGACUGGUUUUGUGGUCCAUGUCACAUAUAAUCCUCAAAACAUUCUAGUAUAUAUUUUCAUGUUAAUAGUACAAAAAAUAGCUACUAGUAUCUAUUCCAUUAUGUAUUAAGACUUAUUUAAUAGCUACUAGAGCUUAUUCUUUAGCUGUUAGUAUUGGUAACUACUUUAUUUUAAGGUGUCCUUGUUACAUGUACUUACUAUUAUAAUAACAAUGAAUUAUGCAUAAUUACAUGCAAGUAACCCUAUAUAUGCAUAAUUACAUGCAAGUAACCCUAUAAGACAAACCCUAAUCCUAAACCAAAC
rnacentral:lncRNA from 1 species